AGGUCGUUAGCUCAGUUGGUAGAGCAGUUGACUUUUAAUCAAUUGGUCGCAGGUUCGAAUCCUGCACGACCUA
rnacentral:tRNA from 2 species